CACACACAUAGUUCAAUCGCCAUGGAGUCAAAGUUCUUACAGUCUUUCGGUAUACGAAUGACUCCAUGGGAAGGCUAUCUGGGUUAAGUCUUUUCGUAUGCUCCAAAUCUCCCAAACGGCCGGUAUUCGUAUGCUUUCGUGGAGGCAGCCAGGCGUUCUGUUGUUUCAGCGGUGUUCGGCAGAAAAAGUGUCCGUUUUUAGUUCCAUAGAAAUAGAGCCAAACACC
rnacentral:lncRNA from 1 species